AUAGUUGACGUGGGACUAAACAUAUGCUUGCAUGGGUCCUCUUGUUUAAGCUCUAGUGUCCUCGUCGGCUUAAGGAUGCAAAUCUAGUCAAAUCCAACUAUAAACGCUACGAUCAACUCGUAGUUAGCUUUAAUGGGCCUGUGCUACAGCCUCUCCUAAUCCAUAUUGGUGUUAGCAUCCCUCAUAUGCCAUGAAAAUUUCGAAAUAAUUUUCAGAUUGCAGCGGAAAA
rnacentral:lncRNA from 1 species